rnacentral:rRNA from 1 species
GACGAACGCUUGCGGCGUGCCUAAGAAAUGCAAGUCGAACGGAUAGGGGAGCAAUCCUCUGUCAGUGGCGAACGGUCGCGUAACACGUAAGCAACCUGCCCUAAAGUGGGGGACAACAGUCCGAAAGGGCUGCUAAUACCGCAUGUGGCCGCGUCUUCGCAUGGAGAUGCGUCUAAAGGAACCCUGUAACAGGGGUUUCGCUUUUGGUAUGGGCUUGCGGCCUAUCAGCUUGNGGUGGGGUAACGGCCUACCAAGGCUUUGACGGGUAGCUGGUCUGAGAGGACGAUCAGCCGGAUUGGGACUGAGAUACGGCCCAGACUCCUACGGGGGGCGA